GACGAACGCUGGCGGCGGGCUUAACACAUGCAAGUCGAACGGAAAGGCCCUGCUUUUUUGUGGUUCUCGAGUGGCGCACGUGUGUGUUACACGUGAGUAUCCUUCCCUGUACUUUGUGAUGACUGCAGGAAACUGGUGCUAAUACCUGAUAGGUGCUCCUGCUGCAUGGGGGGGUUUGGAACGUUUCGGCGGUUGUGGAUGGACGGGCGGGUUAUCAGCUGGUUGGUUGGGUAGUCGCUUACCAAGGCUUUGACGGAUAGCCGGCAUGAGAGGGUGACCGGCCACAUGGGGACUACGGGAGGGACCAGACUGGUACGGGAGGCAGAAGUGGGGAAUAUGGCCCAAUGGGCGGAAGCGUGAGGAAGAAACGCCGGGUGCGGGAUGACGGCCUUGGGGGGGUAAACCGCUUUAGGCUGUGACGUAGCGUGAGUGACGGUAAUGGGAAAAGAAGCACCGGCUAACUACGUG
rnacentral:rRNA from 1 species